UACGUAGGGGGCAAGCGUUGUCCGGAUUUAUUGGGCGUAAAGAGCGUGUAGGCGGCCAGGUAGGUCUGCUGUGAAAACUCGAGGCUUAACCUCGAGCUGUCGGCGGAAACCAUCUGGCUAGAGUCCGGAAGAGGAGAAUGGAAUUCCCGGUGUAGCGGUGAAAUGCGCAGAUAUCGGGAAGAACACCCGUGGCGAAGGCGGUUCUCUGGGACGGUACUGACGCUGAGGCGCGAAAGCUAGGGGAGCAAACGGG
rnacentral:rRNA from 1 species